rnacentral:tRNA from 1 species
UCGCUGGUGGUGUAACGGCUAGCAUCCUGCCCGCAAAGCAGUGGGUCCCGGUUCGAGUCCUGGCUGGCGUA